CCCCCGAACUUCAUCCAGCAGGCGCUGCAAACGCCUGCUGGAGACUUUACGAAACUCCGGGCGGCGGUACCGCUUCCCCAGCCCGGUGGCAAGAACUAGCGCACUCCGAGACUGCGGCGCCCGGGGGCGCGGGGGUGGGGGAACCAGCCGGACACGGUGGCGCGCGGCACCGUCUCAUCCCAGAGAUUCUGUGUAGAUCGAGGGCCGCGAGGCGCCAGCUGCAUCUACCUCCAGAACCCGAGGCUUUCUACCGAGAGGGACCGGCAGGAGAGCGCGCCCAGGACCCGGACAGGGGCGGCUCGGAGGGUGUCCGGCUGGGACGGGUACCCCCUCCAGAGCUUGAAGGGGAUGUAGCUUCGGCCCCUAAGACUGCAUUGAUUCUUAGCGCAGAGUCGGUUCCUCGAGUGGGCGGACCCCCUCCUCCUCCAGCACCGCAGCAGCUUCGCCACCACCCCUUCUUUUUCCACCGGAGUUCUUCCUCUGUCUCCGAAGCCAGGCAUCAGAGGUCCAGAAGGUGGUGAAGACUGUUUUCAUCCCAGAAUCCUUGACAAGCCUGGCACCUGAGAAACGUCAACGAGAGCUCCCACGAGUGCUGGAUGAAGUGACAAAAUCCCCUGUCCUUGGGGAAGUGGGGAGUAGGCCCUCCUGAGAGGAGGUGCGAGUCAACAGCAGAUGACUGUGUGCAAAUGUUGCUCCCCACUGUCUUUGCCACGCAGCGUCUCUGGCCCAGACCCUGUGCUGUGUGCCAGACACUUACCUAAGCAUGAAACAGUGACUGGUGGGAGCUAACUGGUCAGAUUUUCUUUCCUCCUGGGAGUCUGAACUUUAUCCGGAGGUGAGAGGUAACCCUUCCCCACUUGACUGUCCCCGGGGAGAAUGUCAGUGGGUACCAAGAACCAUAGUUCCUGAAGCCUGCACCGUUGCUUUCCCUCCGAAGACCUAUGCUAUUGAUUAGAAGUCUCCAGAUCUGCCCAACUCAUGUUCUGGGCAGUGGCUUGAGCCAGCCUGGGUUAGUUCGUGUUGCUUGCCAGCAAAGGAGGCUUAAACACCUUCCCACAUGAUGUAGAUGUGCCACUGUCACCCAGAUACAGGAGAAGACAAGGAACUGGCAUUUCUGGAGCCCUGAGAGCCUCCUGCUGCCAGCCUCGGACUUUCCGGGUGAGGUGGGGGUACAGAGCACAGGAUGGCCCUCGCCUUGACGCCAAUGGAGGUGGAGCCUUUCUAAGGUGGGAAAGAAAUGGUCACUGGGGGCGUGCCAUUGACUGCGACUCUGCUCCCCGCUCCCUCCUUCAGCUGCUUCCUCAUAAAGUAAGCAACUUCCUCAGCCACAUCCUCCCACCAUCUUGUAUUCCUCACCAUAGGCCCAAAGCAAUGGAUCCCAGUGAGCCAUGAACAGAAACCUCUGAAAAUAAAGCGAUUUCCCUAUUUCCUUUUAUUUUUUAAGUCAGUUAUCUCAGGCAUUUUAUCACUGUGACAAAAAACUAAUAAGCACACAAGGACUGUGCCAGUCAGAGUGGGUUAGGUUAAGAUGUCUGUUUUACUCAGUGCUAUGAAGAGACACCAUAACCACAGCAGCUCUUAUAAAGGAAAACAUUUAAUUGGCUUGCUUACAGGUUCAGAGAUUAUUAACCCAUUGUCAUCACUGACAUACAGGUAGAUGUGGUCGUGGAGGAGCUGAGAGUUCUAUAUCUGGAUCUACAGAACAGAGAGAGAGACAGAGACAGAGACAGAGACAGAGAGAGACAGAGACAGAGAGAGGCAGAGAGAGACAGAGAGAGACAGAGAGACAGAGAGAGAGAGAGAGACUGGCCUGGCUUGAGUGUUCGAAACCCCAAUGCCCACCCCCAAUGCCCACUUUCUCCAACAAGGCCACACCUCCUAAUAGCACCAGCCCAUAAUGACCAUACAUUGAAAUCCAUGAGUCUCUGGGGCCAUUCUUAUUCAAACCGCCACACUGUAGUAACAAGCAGCCCUAAUCUAAGAGUCAAGGCCAGAGUGCAUUCACCAAAAGCUCACUUUCUAGUCAUCCUCAUACUAAGGUGGUAGAGUGACCCCUUUGGGAAAUUGCGUGUUGGUUGGUUAGUGGGCUUUGUUGACAACAGGAAAGAGGAAUGUGGCCUUUAGCCCUCCAUCACAGGAACCUCAGGGCAAUGUGUAGCGAUUCCUAAUCACCUCUCAGCCCAAAUAACUAAAGAUUCUUGUGAUGUGAAAAUUGCACAGGCAGCUACUUCUCCUCACCCCAAGGGGGAUGCUCUCACUUUGUCACGUGAGAAAACUGACACCCAGAGGAAGGACAUGCUCCCUUUUCUUAGGAAGCCUGGAAUUCUGUCACACAGCUUAAGACUUUGUCUCCUGUUACCUGUAGGGUCUCUGAUGGAGGCAACACAUUCAAGGUCCCCAUGUGGAUUCCCUCGACAGAGACCAAUUCCAGUACAGUGAAGUUCAUGCCAGGUUCUGGGCAAGCCGAGGAUGUCGGCAAAAGUGAAAAGACCCUCCAAUUAACACCAGGUGCUCCUUCCCUCUGGGAUGAUUUUGUCGGCUAACUCAUGCCAGGAUGCUCACACAUUCCUCCAAUCUAUCUAGGAAACAGGCAGUUGGCCAAAUUCUGGACCUCCCAGGCUAGCACGUGGCCAGUUUGUGUAUGGUUGAGCACUAGGUUCAGUGAUGACAUUCCAGUCUCUAAGAAUUAAACUUGUUUUUUUUUUAAUGCAUGGUGUUCAUGGUGAUUCAAAGGAGGAAGUCUCUGUAGAGACGCUAAAAGGGCUCUGACCUAACCGGCUCCAGGCUGAGCGCAUUUUGACAUGCCAAGUAUGAUGCUUGAGUGCUCUGGCUGCGUUAAGAGAAUCUGACAAGAAAGCACAGACUGUAAGGCUGGGGGCAGAGUCAGGGCAGCGGGGUGUCCUGAUGGAUCCGCCGGCCACGUUGGAGGGCCAGAGCCACAGGGAGAAGCUGGGGAGGGCCGACCAGGAGCACCAAGCAAAACCUGCCAGAAUAUUCUUCCCUGAGAAGACACUAAGUGAACGGUUGAGACGGAAUAAGGAAGUGUGGUCUUUUGUGAAGACCCAAGCAAGGAGGGAUAUUAGACACAGAAGAACUAGAUGCGAGAGGGGCUAACAUUACAGCGGACCUGACAGCAAAGAGAGACUGAAGGAAACAUGUCUGCCUUGAUCUGGGCUCUGUGUGGAAAAGCAUCGGCCUUGCCCAAGACCCUGGCACCACAGACUCCUUCCUCGCUGCCUGGAGUUCAAGUGAGGGCUGCUUACGUGAUGCGGAAAACCCCAAACAAGACAUUUGUCUCAAGUAGGGCCAGGCUAGUAGUACCCUGGGGUGAGAAUAUUAGAUCUUUUUGGAGUAAGAUCAUAACCCAGACCUCCCAGGGGGAAGAAAGCCAGGGGUGAACAUGAGCUCACAACCCACAGUUACAGGGUUCAGGAGAAGGUGAACCUCCCGGGCAGAUCCCAGCGGAAAGAACCCACAGCAGGACUAACUGUCAGGGGAUAUUAGACACUGGCCAGGCAUGUUCAGACUAGAAGGUGAGUAUAGUUCAAGUCCCCAAAACUGUAAACAGUUUUUCACAAGCUUGAACUUGUGUCAGGCUCACUGAAACUUUUUGGGGGUCACAAGUGAAUUUCCUCCCUCUCCCUUCCUCUCUUCUCUCCUCUUCCUCCUCCCCCUCUUUCUUCUCUCCCUCCCUUUCUCCUUUCCCAUUUACCUGUCUCUGUCUGACAAUGCGCAAAUCCAGGAGAGUAUGCAACUAGUAAAAACAGAAAAUUUGGGUCACCUUCCUACAAAAUUCAGUGUUUGUUUCUUGCUCUAUAUUACACUUGUUUCUCAAAUGCAUUUUGUGGUGGUGAUGGUGGUAGUGGGGUGUGUGUG